GAAUAUCGCGAAGCUCCUGAAGAAACAACAGCUUGUCCCCAUCAUCCUAGGGCCCAUAAACCACCGUGAACCUCCAAGGAAUGCCAGCUCCGGACGAGACACUUGCCGAAACAGCAAAGCUAGAAAUGUGCGGGUUGGCAAGCUGCACCAAAGCCCCCUUCCGCGCAAGAAUAAUGCCUCCACAAGUGCCAAUGGCAAGAAGAAAAAAGAAAGAAUCAAAAUCCGGUCCACAGCACUCCUCCACCACAUAGCGAGAAACCGAACUUAAUUUAGAUUCUUGGAGUCCCACAAUACAAGCUCCAGAGGAGACCACCAUCUUACGAAUCGCCAUACGCUUAGCUCUAGCAUUUAAGCCACGUACGUUCCACACCAAAAUAGAAAUAUUGCCGUCAGCCAUAGGAAAAGCCACCAACCACCACCACCAAGUGCAAGGUAGUCCAGGGACUAACCCAGCACCUCCACCCCUACCCCAUCCUCAAGGGGCAGGGCCACACUCUCCCACCCAAACAAGGAAAGGAUCGCCGAAAUGUGCUCCGAAGAGAGAGGCCGGCUGAAGAGCUCCAGGUACGCUUGAAGCGCCUCAUCACCAAUACGCUCGCCUUCCCUAGCAAUCCCAAGCCUGUGGAUGAUGGCAUGCUGCUGCUUGCUGGCACAAGAGCUCGCCACCUUCUCCCUCGCAAGGUGCCUGCUACGAUGGACCGGGUCCGGCUGAGCCACUAGCCGCGAAGCCUACCUCCGCUGGGGCCUAGCCAGCACUGGCGAAGGCGCGCGCCGCACCCGCGCCAGGAAAGCCGCAACCUCCCUCGAAGCCACACCCGAGUCCUCCAACAGAGAGCAGACCACCGGCGAAGGAGCAUCCGCCAUCGAACCCGAGCACAGCGGUGCCGAGGAAUCCGGCGACGUAGGCGAGAGCACGGCUGGAGAGGCCUCAACCUCCGGGGGGAGAGCCUCGGACAGAGACACCGUGAACAUGCUCAGCGGCGAGCCAUCCAUCACGGGUCCCGAAGAGAG
rnacentral:lncRNA from 1 species